rnacentral:rRNA from 1 species
AGGACCCGUCUUGAAACACGGACCAAGGAGUCUAACAUGUGCGCGAGUCAUUGGGACUUGUAAAGCCUAAAGGCGCAAUGAAAGUGAAGGUCGUCCUUAGCGUCGACCGAGGGAGGAUGGCUCGCGUCACGAUGCGAGCCCGCACUCCCGGGGCGUCUCGUGCUCAUUACGAGCAGAGGCGCACCCAGAGCGUACACGUUGGGACCCGAAAGAUGGUGAACUAUGCCUGGUCAGGACGAAGUCAGGGGAAACCCUGAUGGAGGUCCGUAGCGAUUCUGACGUGCAAAUCGAUCGUCGGAACUGGGUAUAGGGGCGAAAGACUAAUCGAACCAUCUAGUAGCUGGUUCCCUCCGAAGUUUCCCUCAGGAUAGCUGGCACUCGCUUGAGCGAGUCUCAUCUGGUAAAGCGAAUGAUUAGAGGCCUUGGGGCCGAAACGACCUCAACCUAUUCUCAAACUUUAAAUGGGUGAGAUCUCUGGCUUGCUUGAACGUUGAAGCCACGAGAUGCAAUUCGUUGCAAUGGAUCAAAGUGCCAAGUGGGCCAAUUUUGGUAAGCAGAACUGGCGCUGUGGG